UGUAACAGCAACUCCAUGUGGAAUGCCCGUCUUUCCAGUGGGGCUGCUGUUAUCCG
rnacentral:pre_miRNA from 1 species